rnacentral:piRNA from 1 species
UCAAUUCUGCUUGUCAUAUGCAUGGAUGC